UUUACUUUCUCUUAGCUUUCGCUUCGCAUCGAUAUUGAAGCAUUAAAAGAGAUGAAGAGUUGCAGAGCUUGAAAAGAUCUUUCAAUGGCGAAUCCUCCAAGAAUCCGCAAAAGGGUUCAUGCAGUUCGUCGUGCUCCUGAUGGAAGUGCCUUUGAGAAGUGCGACAACUGUGGUGCUUCGGUGCCAAUUGCUUUGGCUGAUAUGCACGAAUGCGAAGCUCAACCCAAAACGGCUGUGAAGAGAUUCAAAGGUCUCAAUGGGAAGCAAAACAUUGUGGAACGAUGCUAUAGUGACCAACCCAGAUCGCCUUUUCGAAUCUUUAUGGAAGAUUUUAUGAACACUUGCAAGAAGAGGAAAUUGAUUGACAUUGAUCGAAAAGGGUUUGAGAUUUGGAGAAACAUGUCCGAGGAGGAAAGGCAGCCAUAUGUCAACAACGCUACAAAGGUGAACUUAGCUUAUCUUAAAAGUUUGAUUCAAGAGGUUCACGAUUCAUCAGAGGUGGAUGAAGAGGCAGAUUCAGCAAUGGUGGGGAAGUUUGAUCCGUUCUAUGAAGACUAUGGAUACAAUGACAACUCUGAUAGCUUUGAUAGCAUGGGAGGAUUUGAAAGUUUAAACACCUGGGAAUGGUACCUCUCUCUCCAUCUCCUAUGUUUCUGUUUUAGCACAAUUUGCUGCUUGUUUGUUGCUUCAGUAGUAUUGUGAAUUCUGUCUGUUGACACAGGGAAAUGGUGAAACCCUGGAUUGCUGAGAGUUCUCGAUAAUAUCAAAGACUGGCCUAAAGAUUCCCUUGCAUUGGACUUAAAAAACCUAAAUAGCCAAUGGUGUGGAUAAUUUUUGCCAUGAUCCACCUUCUCAAAAGGCAAGUCGUUUGGCUAUUGUAAGGUAACAAUAGGAGUUGAGGUUUCCAACCAAAAUCGUUGGCUAUUCUUCCUUUGUAGAGUUCAAAAGGUUUCACAUUUUGGGUUGUGCUCUAGAAUUUUUGUUGGGGAUAGAAAGUGUGAACUUGAUACUUGAAAGGAAGCAUUUUGC
rnacentral:misc_RNA from 1 species